AGGAUUGACAGACAAUUGUCUUUUUGUCAAAUUUAAAGACAAAAGAUAAUAGAUCUUUCAUGAUUAUGUGAUGGGUGGUGCAUGGCCGUUCUUAGUUCGUGGAGUGAUCUGUCUGCUUAAUUGCGUUUCAAAUAUAUUUUAUUAUAUAACGAGUCUACAANGGAGUGGUUCAUUAACAGACAAUCAUAUCUUUGAGCGUCUGGAAUCUACUCUAUUUGGCUC
rnacentral:rRNA from 1 species